UACGUAGGGUGCAAGCGUUGUCCGGAAUUAUUGGGCGUAAAGAGCUCGUAGGCGGCUCGUUGCGUCGGCUGUGAAAACCCGCAGCUCAACUGUGGGCUUGCAGCCGAUACGGGCGGGCUAGGAUCGGUAGGGGAGACUGGAAUUCCUGGUGUAGCGGUGAAAAUGCGCAGAUAUCAGGAAGAACACCAACGGCGAAAGCACUCUGCUGGGCCGACACUGACACUGAGAGACGAAGCUAGGGGAGCGAAUGGGA
rnacentral:rRNA from 1 species